rnacentral:misc_RNA from 1 species
AACGCACAUUGCGCCCCUUGGUAUUCCGAGGGGCAUGCCUGUUCGAGCGUCAUUACGCCAAUCAAGCCUGGCUUGGUAUUGGGCCUUCGUCCCCCCUUUUCGGGAGGGCGUGCCCCGAAACCUUCGGCGAAGUCUCAUCGGCUUUGGGCGUAGUAGAAUUACUUCAAAACGUUCACGAGUCCGGCGAGGCCUUCUGCCGCUAAACCCCCAAUUUUUUCAGGUUGACCUCGGAUCAGGUAGGGAUACCCGCUGAACUUAA